AGUGAACGCUGGCGGUAGGCCUAACACAUGCAAGUCGAACGGCAGCACAGUAAGAGCUUGCUCUUACGGGUGGCGAGUGGCGGACGGGUGAGGAAUACAUCGGAAUCUACUUUUUCGUGGGGGAUAACGUAGGGAAACUUACGCUAAUACCGCAUACGACCUACGGGUGAAAGCAGGGGAUCUUCGGACCUUGCGCGAUUGAAUGAGCCGAUGUCGGAUUAGCUAGUUGGCGGGGUAAAGGCCCACCAAGGCGACGAUCCGUAGCUGGUCUGAGAGGAUGAUCGGCCACACUGGAACUGAGACACGGUCCAGAGUCCUACGGGAGGCAGCAGUGGGGAAUAUUGGACAAUGGGCGCAAGCCUGAUCCAGCCAUCCCGCGUGGGUGAAGAAGGCCUUCGGGUUGUAAAGCCCUUUUGUUGGGAAAGAAAAGCAGCAGGUUAAUACCCCGCUGUUCUGACGGUACCCAAAGAAUAAGCACCGGCUAACUUCGUG
rnacentral:rRNA from 1 species